rnacentral:lncRNA from 1 species
AGGUUUUGAACUGUUUGAUGUGCUUGUAAGACGAUAAGUAUGACAGUACUAAUAAAGAUUUCAAUAUUUUAUUCUCUAGCUCCUUUAAGAAAUAAUCUUUAAGGGUUCUAUUCCUUUUUCCCAAAAUUAUUAUUCCUUUAAUUCCCAUAACUCAAAUCCAUAAAAUAGAUCUGAAUAUGUUUUAUUUUAUAUUUUAAUUUUUUCAUAUUUGUCUUGACCUUGGUGCGAUGGCAAGUGCCUUCGCCCAUGAGCGGUAGGUCUCGGGUUCGAGACUUGGGAGCAGCCUCUCCAUAAAUGGGGGUAAGGCUAGCCGACAUUCACCUCUCCCAGACCUUGCGUAAAGCGGGAGCCUUGUGCACUGGGUACGACCUUUUUGUCUUGACCUGAUUAGAAACAAGAGCCUUUGAGCCUUAGGUCAGGUGGUAAAAGGAUAGCGAUAUGGUUAGAUGGUGGCUUUAAAUGACAUCUAGCAACAUGUACGAAGAUAGGUUCAGGAAUAAAUCAGGGUUGGAUAUUUCUGCUUUCUUGUAUAUGGUAACGGUUUCGAUGAUUCUGCACAGCUAACGCUUCUAUUCGAUUAAUGGUUUAAGGUAAUUAGUAAUUCUGCUAUAUAUGCAAAAGCUGUCAUUAGAAAUAAUAGCUUUCUGAGCACUAUAAUGUGCGAGGAAUGGAAUUCCACGAUCAUAUCAUCCACUUAUUUGCUGGUAUCAGAGUCGUGUGUUACAUGGUCAUCAUUGGGCUGUUCAAACAUACCUUUUUUUUAAUUACUAAAACAAGAUAAAUAUUACAUUUCUCAAGAAUCUUAACUCCGUCUAGUGAACAUCAACUGCAGGUAGGUUUUUAUUUUAAUGAUUUGCAUGAAACCAUGCACGCUGAUGGUGUGG